rfam:Schistosoma haematobium scaffold220_50, whole genome shotgun sequence.
AUCCAGCUGACGUGCCCCAAAUAGGACGAAACGCGCGUCAAACUGGAU